rnacentral:rRNA from 1 species
AUACGGAGGGUGCAAGCGUUGUUCGGAAUCACUGGGCGUAAAGGGCGCGCAGGCGGUUUGGUAAGUCAGAUGUGAAAGCCCACGGCUCAACCGUGGAAGUGCAUUUGAAACUGCCAGACUUGAGUACCAGAGGGGAAAGUGGAAUUCCCGGUGUAGAGGUGAAAUUCGUAGAUAUCGGGAGGAAUACCGGUGGCGAAGGCGACUUUCUGGCUGGAUACUGACGAUGAGGCGCGAAAGCGUGGGGAGCAAACAGGAUUAGAAACCCCAGUAGUCC